rnacentral:rRNA from 1 species
UACGUAGGGGGCGAGCGUUAUUCGGAAUUAUUGGGCGUAAAGAGUGCGUAGGUGGUUACCUAAGCGCAAGGUUUAAGCUUGAGGCUCAACCUCAUUUUGCCUUGCGAACUGGGCUACUUGAGUGCAGGAGGGGAAAGCGGAAUUCCUAGUGUAGCGGUGAAAUGCGUAGAUAUUAGGAAGAACACCAGUGGCGAAGGCGGCUUUCUGGACUGUAACUGACACUGAGGCACGAAAGCGUGGGGAGCAAACAGGAUUAGAUACCCUGGUAGUCCACGCCGUAAACGAUGAGCACUGGCUGUUGGGUCCGAACGGAUUCAGUGGCGCAGUUAACGCAAUAAGUGCUCCGCCUGGGGAGUACGUUCGCAAGAAUAAA